CGUAAAGCGCAUGCAGGUGGUUUGUUAAGUCAGAUGUGAAAGACCCCGGGCGUCAACCUGGGAAUUGCAUUUGUAAACUAGGCAAACUAGAGUACUGUAGAGGGGGGUAGGAAUUUCAGGUGUAGCGGUGAAAUAGCGUAGAGAUCUGAAGGAAUACCGGUGGCGAAGGCGGCCCCCUCGGACAGAUACUGACACUCAGAUGCGAAAGCGUGGGGAGCAAACAGGAUUAGAUACCCUGGUAG
rnacentral:rRNA from 1 species